GAUCCAAUGUAAUCUUUGGUAUAUUCAAGGGAGCCCACAUUUGUUAUGUUAAGUGCACUUGGAGGAGCGUGAAUUAGACACCAGACACCUGCUGGUAUUCAAAAUAAGCCUCUUCCGUUUAUUUUUCAGUAUGUGCUUACAUGCAAAUACUCAUAGAACAGUAGUAGGAAGGGAGUGAAAUGGUGAAAGGAGUACAGAUGAGACAUAGGGAUGAAUGUCGUGUACAUAUAACAGAUAAGUUCCGAGAAAGAGAAAGAACAGACUGAUUUAGGAGAGACAGCUCAGGUGGGGGCUAUCUGCUCCCGGAAGCAGACAUAUAUGUUCUUAAGUGUCAUUUUAAGCAUUAAGCAUUUCCUGAGUCCAAGUUAGCCAAUUUUAAUAUAGGAUAUCUAAUAUGACACCUAUAAACUUGAACCUUGGAAUCAAAGUAAAAUCUUUGACACACCAUAACUACUACAUUGUAGUAUGCUAUGGGUGUAAUCCUGUUUUUUUUGGUUUUUUUUAGAAAUGGGUUAAAGGGUUUGACAAAAAACGUGGAAUUAACAAGCACUCAAAGCCCUACUUCUAUGCCUUUGAUAAAAUAUGACAUCCUAAUCAUGUAUUUAGCCGUACAAAUAUCCAGACGGCACAUGCUCACAUCAUGCCAUGCAGACCAAUUUAUGUCUAACUGGCGGCAGGAGCAAAUAGAGUGGUCACACCCCACACUGUCACCAAAUACUUGCCUCCAAGUUAAAGUGUGACGACCACCACUUGUUAACCCUGCUGCACAUACAGAGGAGGAGGCAUUCAACUGAUUUGUCAGGCAGAAAUGGGGGUAUCAGUGUCAUAGGAGAAGCUGCAUGUCUAAAUCGGUGCCAGUGUUUGUCACUGUAUACAUAUUUUUAUGUUUUGUAAAUCUGUAUUUCAGUGACUGCAUGUGUCCGACAGAAUAUCCAGCGGUGCCCCGUGCCUUGAGCUCUGGAUGCGCCUCUUGGUCUGUGGAGCCGAAUUGCUGCAGCCUUUCUGUGAAGCUGUGUUAACUUUUAUUUUGGGGGGAUUUGGUGACACAGAACGGGGAGCAGUGAUUCAGCAUGGCCAAAUCCUACUAAAGCCCAGGUCUUACAGCCUGUCAUCUCACAAUGUGAAAAUGGAAUGCUUCUCCGUACCAUAUACAUAUCUUUAAAAUUACUGGUAGAAAAAACGUUAUAAUAAAAUGGGAGACAUGAGAGGACAGCGAUGGGCAACCUCAAGGGUUUACAACAUUUUGAAAAAAACUAUAGUGGAGGGUCUACACACAAUGCAUUCAGUCAUAAUAACCCCUGCAAGAAACUUUAUUGGGGAGGGUGCUUAUGGUGUCCCUUUAAAUGAACACUCCAAGCACCAUAACCACUACAGCACAAUGUAGUAGUUAUAGUACUUAGAAUGUCCAUAUAACCUUGUGUUACAUAAAAGGGUAAUUUAUUGCAUUUUGCCUGAUAUUCAGCAUCAGAUUUCCAAUGUGGAUUUAAAAAAAAAAUGUAAUUAAGUUAUUCAGCGAGAGAAAAGAAAAAACAAGUAAAAAAGCCACGAGUUGUAGUCAUCCAGAUCUAAAAGAAAGUACAAAUUGGGUUUUGGCAACCAUUAUAAAGCACAUCUGCAGAAAUGCAGGAUGACGCAAAGUGUAAUACCAGGAGCAUUUACUAUGAAGGAAGAUGGAAUUUUAUAUUUUUAAAUGAUAAUCAUUAGACUCUUUGUUAAUAUACCGGGCAUCAAGACAUGUGUAAUAGAUCAUUACAGGCACAUUUUCAAAAUUCAAACUGCACCGUCCUGGAAUCACUAUCUAAGGUUUUAUUGCAUCUUAGAAAUUGUGUAAACACAGAAAAAAUAAAUGUUGUUUUUUAUUUACUGUCUUUAUUACUAUACCUGCCUCUCGUCACAUCUCUCAGCUGUUCAAGACGUUAUGGUGACCGUACGGCUGUAAGCUACGGUCACCGAACGCCCCAGCAGAUAGCCACUAACACGAAUGAGUGCAAGUUUAGAACCUACAGGUCCCAUUGAAGUCCAUUACCAUUGACUUCUACACUGAUUAUUUGAUCAUCUUUCAUUUGUUUCUUUGGUGGAAGCAUUGCCUCUUCAUUUAUGAUUAUUAUUCAUGUAUGAUGUCAUACAUGUCAUUUAUGAUGUCAUGCGACUGUUGUGCUUUGAUUUUCCAAUAGUAAUUAAAACAUAGGGAGGACAGUAGAUGGUUAUCUCCUUGUUGAAAAGGACAUCACUGGAGGAAACUCAGUCACCUACCCUCAUUUAGCAUUAUACAAUUCAAUUAAUUAGAAAUCACCAACACAGCGUUGUACAAUAGGUAAACAAGACAAACAUUUAAUUUUAAAGUUUACAAUUUAAAUACACAGAUAGAAUGUGGGGUUAGAUGCACUCACAAUUUUUGUAGAUGAUUAAAAGGCUCCCGAAACUAAAA